UCACCCUGGAGGAGAACUCCAAGGGUGGGCGGCUAAUGAGGGUUGGAGAAAGGUGGACCCAUGGGCGGUGGCUGCCCACGGCCUUUGAAGUUUCAUUUGCAGUGUUUUAUGAGCCCAUGCUGGAGUAAAUUGUACCUGCAGGCUGCUGCACUUUGCCCUCCCCAGCAAAAGGAGGUGGAAUUCACACUAGUAAUGUCUGGCUGGAGAACACCCUAGAUGAUGAAUCCAGUGAGGGUCAACAGCAGAGAGGAGCUGCCCAGCAGAGAGGAGCUGCCCACCACACCCUCCACCCCAUCUUCCUGAGCCUUCUGUGGAAGCACUGGUUUGCUAGCCUCUGAAGGGCCAUGGGCCCAGCACCAGGUGCCCUCAGCUCUGAGGCCAGGCCGUUACCUGCAUUCAAGAUGGACACUGGCUAGAGAAAGCAUGUCCACAGGGCUGGUCAGUAGGAAAGGGGUUGUGUUUCUGGAAGGGUGCAUCUAACCCAGGGGUUGGUGAGCAUUUUCCUAACCCAGGGCCAGGUAGUAAACAUUUUUGGCUUUGCCAGUCAUGCAGUCUCUGUCACAGCCACUGCACUCUACUACUUUAGCACAAAAGCAGCCAUAGGCAAUACAUUUAAAAAGACGAGCGUGACUGCGUUCCAAUAAAAUUUUAUUUAUAAAAAACA